rnacentral:rRNA from 1 species
GGUCGACGAUUAGAGUUUGAUCCUGGCUCAGAUUGAACGCUGGCGGCAUGCCUAACACAUGCAAGUCGAACGGCAGCAUUUUCUAGCUUGCUAGAAAGAUGGCGAGUGGCGGACGGGUGAGUAACGCGUAGGAAUAUGCCUUGAAGUGGGGGACAACUUGGGGAAACUCAAGCUAAUACCGCAUAAUAUCUAAGGAUGAAAGCUGGGGACCUUCGGGCCUGGCGCUUUAAGAUUAGCCUGCGUCCGAUUAGCUAGUUGGUAGGGUAAGGGCCUACCAAGGCGACGAUCGGUAGCUGGUCUGAGAGGAUGGCCAGCCACACUGGAACUGAGACACGGUCCAGACUCCUACGGGAGGCAGCAGUGGGGAAUAUUGGACAACGGGGGGAACCCUGAUCCAGCAAUGCCGCGUGUGUGAAGAAGGCCUGAGGGUUGUAAAGCACUUUCAGUGGGGAGGAGGAUUUAGGGGUUAAGAGCUACUAGAUUGGACGUUACCCACAGAAGAAGCACCGGCUAACUCCGUGCCAGCAGCCGCGGUAAUACGGAGGGUGCGAGCGUUAAUCGGAAUUACUGGGCGUAAAGGGUGCGUAGGUGGUUGAUUAAGUUAUCUGUGAAAUCCCUGGGCUUAACCUGGGCAGGUCAGAUGAUACUGAUUGACUCGAGUAUGGGAGAGGGUAGUGGAAUUUCCGGUGUAGCGGUGAAAUGCGUAGAGAUCGGAAGGAACACCAGUGGCGAAGGCGGCUACCUGGCCUAAUACUGACACUGAGGCACGAAAGCGUGGGGAGCAAACAGGAUUAGAUACCCUGGUAGUCCACGCUGUAAACGAUGUCAACUAGCUGUUGGGAGCCUUGAGCUCUUAGUGGCGCAGCUAACGCAUUAAGUUGACCGCCUGGGGAGUACGGCCGCAAGGUUAAAACUCAAAUGAAUUGACGGGGGCCCGCACAAGCGGUGGAGCAUGUGGUUUAAUUCGAAGCAACGCGAAGAACCUUACCAGGCCUUGACAUCCAAUGAACUUUCCAGAGAUGGAUUGGUGCCUUCGGGAACAUUGAGACAGGUGCUGCAUGGCUGUCGUCAGCUCGUGUCGUGAGAUGUUGGGUUAAGUCCCGUAACGAGCGCAACCCUUGUCCUUAGUUACCAGCACGUUAUGGUGGGCACUCUAGGGAGACUGCCGGUGACAAACCGGAGGAAGGUGGGGAUGACGUCAAGUCCUCAUGGCCCUUAUGGGUAGGGCUUCACACGUCAUACAAUGGUACAUACAGAGGGCCGCCAACCCGCGAGGGGGAGCUAAUCCCAGAAAGUGUAUCGUAGUCCGGAUUGUAGUCUGCAACUCGACUACAUGAAGUUGGAAUCGCUAGUAAUCGCGGAUCAGCAUGUCGCGGUGAAUACGUUCCCGGGUCUUGUACACACCGCCCGUCACACCAUGGGAGCGGGUUUUACCAGAAGUAGGUAGCCUAACCGUAAGGAGGGCGCGUACCACGGUAGGAUUCGUGACUGGGGUGAAGUCGUAACAAGGUAGCCGU